ACCUGUUCAAUAUUCUAUUCAAGGAAGCUUCUUAAACAAUCGCAUAUUUUUAGAUACAAUGCGAACGAAUUAUCAGAGUUGUUGGACAAAAUUCAUGUCAUUGAUUAAGCUUUUUGAUUUAAUCAAAUUUGGCACUAAGUUGGAACAUUUGUGGUACUAAUUUUAGUGUGUUCCGCUAACGGUGGUAAAGUCGUCUAGAUUGAACUGCGCUAGUGUGAGACCCCAACGGCGAAGUUCUACGGUGCUUUAAAUCACUCGUUUGCCCUUACAGACUUAGUUUAUCUCUCGAAACUCUUAAGUUUGACCUCUGUACUCUUCUCCUGUAACGACACAACAUUUUCAGUGCUGCAAACUGUAGAGGUGAUCAUCUAUUCCGAAUCAGAAGGCGUCAGCUGGAGUGCGGGCUUUCUAACUGCAUUUGUUACAUCUUGCCCACGUUGGUUUAUAGCAGCUAAGUAAACUGAAAAGACGAUGUCGG